ACCUGGCUGGCUCAAAUGGUAGAGCAUGUGACUCUUGAUCUCAGGGUUGUGAGUUUAAGCCCCGUGUUGGGUG
rnacentral:tRNA from 1 species